UUCAACUCAAUCAUUAACACUCUUGGCCUUAGAGAAAUCUACAUGAGUGGUGGUAAAUACACCUGGUCCAACAACCAAUCCCACCCCACGCUCGAAAACCUUGAUAGGGUGUUAAUGUCUGACUCCUGGGAGGAUAUGUUUCCUUUAGUUUCUUUGAGAAAAUUGGUAAGAGAGCUGUCUGGCCACAAUCCCCUCCUGCUUUAUCCUGGAGGGGAGAAGAGGGCACCUACUAAGUCCUGA
rnacentral:rRNA from 1 species